CUCAGUGAGUUUGAGGACAGCCUGAUCUACAGAGGAGUUCCAGGACAGCCAGAGCUACAUAAUAGAGAGAACCUGUCUCAAAAACCAACAAGAAAAUCACUUCAAGAAAGUAAAAGGAGUCUCUAGAAUUAGAGAAAAUAUUCAUGAUUUGACUAUCUCAUCAGAGAUUAAUACUGCAAAUAUACAAGAGUUCCUAAAAUGCAACACAGCAAUUAUAUCUACCAACUGAAUUAAGAACUGUCAAUGGAAGCCAGACAUGGUGGGGCACUAAUUUAAGCCCAACACUUGGGGGCCAGAGGCAGGGAGAGAGGCAGAGAGGCAGAGGCAGGCAGAUCUCUGUGUGUUCGAGAUCAGCUGGGUCUACAAUGCAAGUCCCAGGGCAGCCAGGGCUGUUAUACAGAGAAAAGGAGGGGGAGGAGGGGGAGGGAGAGGGAAAAGGAGAAGGAAAAUUAAGAAAGAAAGAAAGAAAAAGAAAGAAAGAAAGAAAGAGAAAGAGAAGAAGAGAGAAAGAAAGAGAGGAAGAGAGAAAGAAAGAAGAAAAUGGAAGAACUCAAGGGACAUUUUCCUAAGAUUAUACAAAUGGCCAACAAGCACAUGCAAAGACUUUCAGUAUUACUAAUUACUAGGGAAAUGUAAAUCAAGUUUACAGUGAAGUGAUGCGUUUAUUAGAAUGGACACUAUCAAAAGAGCAGGAAAUCUGCGUUUAUAAAGAUAUGAAAUACUUGUUAUUCAUGGUUGUUGCUGUUGUUCAGGCAGGGUCUCACACAGUAAUCAGGAAUGGCCUGGAACUCAUCAAGUGGCACAGGCUAGCCUCAAACUUGCAGCAAUCCUGUUGCCCCAGCCUCCUGAAUGCUAGAAUUACAAAAUGAGCCAAGGUGUUCAUAUCAGGGGCAAUGAAAAAUUAUAUACCUGCCACUGAGAGCGGCGUGACCCACACCAAUGCAAAUACCUCUGCUGAGAUUCCAUCUCACUCCAGUCAGAAAGGCAAUCAUUAAAGAUAAAUAACAAGAUAACAACAAAUGCUGGCAAGGAUUUGGAAAGAAAGAACCCUUAUAUACUAUUUGUGGGACUAUAAACAGAUACUAUGGAAGACAGAAGAUUCCUAAAACUAGAGCUACCGUCUGAUCUAGUUGACAUACAUACAUACAUAUAUAUAUGUAUGCACACACACACACACAUAUAUACAAAUGAAUGAUUGUCAGUACACAAGAGAUACCUACAAUAUGCAUAUUUUAUCACAACACUACUCCCACAACGGACAAGUUACAGAACCAAACCAGACACCCACCAAGAUAUGAAUUGUUUAAAAUAUAUACACAUACAAUGGAAUAUUAGAAUCAAAGUCAAAGCUAGGAAUAUAGCUCACUAGAUAUAGCCCAGUUGGAGUGAUUGCCUAUCAUAUAUGAGGUUUUUGGGUUUGAUAUCCAGAACUGAAAACUAAGAACUGCCAGGAAUGGUUACUGUGGUUGUUUGACUAGAUGCCCCUCACAGUCCUGGGCACUUGAACACUUGUUUCCAGUUGAUGGCUAUUUGCGGAGGAGCAAGUGUGGCCUUGCUGGAGAAAUUAUGUCACUGAGGACAGGCUUUGAGGUUUCAAAAGACUCCUAUCAGCUUAAGUUAGCUCAAGACUUUCUGUUUGUGCUUAGAGAAAUAUGCUCCCAGCUGCUGCCCUAGCUGCUCGCUACCUCCGAACCGCCAUAACGAUGGCUAUCCCUCUGGAACCGUGAGCGCCAAAUAAUCUUUUAUAGUUGCCUUGGCCAUGUGUUUUAUCACCGAAUAGUAACUGACAGCCCUUUCUGUAUCCUCAGCACUUCUCCCAAAUAAAUCUCCUAGAACUCUGUAGACGAUAUGCUGGCCUUGAACUCAGAGAUCCAUCUGCCUCUGCCUUCUGUGCGCUGGGACUUAAGGUGUGCGCUACUGCACCCCCACAAAUCAAACUUCCUGAACAACCACUUAAACCUUGUAAAUUACUCUGAAUAAUUUUCCUUAAAAACAAACACCAAUAACAACGGAGAGGCGCCUACACAUAACAGUUGCAAAAUACUCCUAUGCAAAAUUCUCCCUUGAAAAGGCCAAGAAACCCAUACUCACCCUUGGGCUUUAUCUUGUUUUGUUUUGUUUUGUUUUUUCCCCCUGAGCACCUAUUAGCCACUGUGCUCAAGAGUGCUAAAAUUAUCUUUUAAUAAAUCCCAAUUCUGCUUCAUAUUGGUUUGUCAUGAAGUUGUUUUCUACAAAACCAUGAAUCUUGCUUUUUCCUGAAAAGACGUUUUUAAGGGGAAAACGUCUUAGGCUGCAGACUGAGUUCCACACUAUCCUUGGGUACAGCGUGCGACACAGAACAAACAGAAACCGCGAACACGCUGCGGUCCUGGUUCCCAGACUGGAACGUGACAAACCCAAACUUUUUUUGUUUUGAGACAGCAUCUUACUACUUGGCUGUGCUGCCUUUGAACUCUUCAGCAAUCUUCCUUGCCUUCGCUUCUCGAAUAUUUUUAAGGUUUUUUUCCCCUGCUAUGCCAGGCUUGGCAUCAAGUUUACUACUUGCUUGUGAGAGUCUGCGCAGCCGCGAAGAAUGGAGUCCGUGUCUGUUUGCUCAGUUGGGAACCAAUAAAGUUGAACGCCUUCAAAGGGGGCCUAGCCUCUUAGGCAGGGCUGGGUAAUCUUGACAAGGAACCAGACUGGAAACUCGCGCGCUUCCAGGUCCUCCCGACCUCCGUGAGCAGCGUAGUCCUCCCUACAGGCGGAGCUUUCGUGCUGAGGAAAAGUUGCGGGGGGGACUUCCGGUGCUAGGGACCACGCGUGGGCGGGGUUUCCGGUACGGCGGCGAGCGCGGCUGUGGCAGUCUUUCCCGGUAACAAGAGGCGCCCGUGCGGGGCAGCAGCAUCAUGAAGCCUAGACCCGGGGUUUUCGUAGACAGGAAACUGAAGCAGCGGGUCAUUCAGUACCUCAGUAGUAACAGAUGUGGCAAAUAUGUGGACACUGGAAUCUUAGCAUCCGACUUGCAAAGACUGUACAGUGUAGAUUAUGGUCGAAGAAAAAGAAAUGCUUUCAGGAUUCAGGUAGAAAAAGUAUUUAGCAUAAUUAGUAGUGAGAAAGAACUUAAGAAUCUUAAAGAACUAGAAGAUGGACAUCUGGCAAAAAGAGCAAGACAAGAUGAAGAGGAUGAGUACACUGAAAGCUAUUCUGAUGAUGAUUCGAACAUGGAAGAUUACCCAGAUCCACAGUCAGCAAAUCCCAUGAACAGCUCCCUGCUCUCUUUGUAUCGGAGAGGAAACUCAGAGUCUGUUUCAACCACUCCGAAGUGGGGACAGAGAGAAGCCACCACUUCCACGCCAUUGCUGACGUCUAAAACGGGCUCCGUGCCAUUGAAGACCCCUGCCCGAGAAUCUGAGGGAGGAUGGUUUAUUGACAAAACUCCCGGUGGAAAGAAAGAAAGUCUUCCCUUGGACCUAUCAGAUGACCAAAGCAACUCUAAAAAGCAGGAUUCUGAGAUUCAGAUUUUAAAAGACUCUUCUCUUUUGGAAAGUGAUAAGAAAAGGAAAGGUAGGGCAAAGGGCAAAGGAAACAAAAGAAAAACAGAGAAUCUUCAAGAAGUAGAUGGAGAAAUAGAAGCUCUUCUGCAAAAGAAAGCCAAAGCAAGGAGUACAGAGUUGCAGAUUUCCAAUGUGAAGUUUGAAGAUGUUGGAGGCAAUGAUGCAACAUUAAAAGAAGUCUGCAAAAUGCUCAUACACAUGCGCCAUCCAGAGGUAUACCAGCACCUUGGUGUCGUGCCCCCUCGUGGAGUUCUCCUGCAUGGACCACCAGGCUGUGGGAAGACAUUACUUGCACACGCAAUAGCAGGGGAACUUGACUUGCCGAUUCUGAAAGUGGCUGCUCCAGAGAUUGUGUCCGGAGUUUCUGGAGAGUCUGAGCAGAAGCUCCGUGAGUUAUUUGACCAGGCUGUGUCAAAUGCACCAUGUAUUGUUUUCAUUGAUGAAAUUGAUGCAAUUACCCCCAAAAGAGAAGUUGCUUCAAAAGAUAUGGAACGAAGAAUUGUAGCCCAGCUUCUAACCUGCAUGGAUGAUCUGAAUAACGUGGCAGCUACAGCUCGGGUCCUAGUUAUUGGAGCUACUAACAGGCCAGACUCAUUGGAUCCUGCUUUGAGACGUGCAGGAAGGUUUGACCGAGAAGUCUGCUUGGGUAUCCCAGAUGAGGCAGCCAGAGAAAGAAUUCUCCAAACGUUGUGCCGAAAACUGAGGCUUCCGGAAACUUUUAAUUUUUGUCACUUAGCACACCUAACACCAGGCUUUGUUGGUGCUGAUCUGAUGGCUCUUUGCCGAGAGGCGGCCAUGUGUGCGGUCAAUAGGGUCUUGAUGAAACAACAGGCGCAGCAGAAGAAAAAGCCUGAGAUUGAAGGUUUGCCCUCUGAAGGAGACCAGGAGGAAAGGCUGGGAGCUGAGCCCACUUCUGAAACACAGGAUGAAUUGCAAAGGCUGUUGGGGUUGCUAAGAGACCAAGAUCCCCUCUCAGAGGAACAGAUGCAAGGACUGUGCAUUGAAUUGAACGAUUUCAUUGUUGCUCUAGCAGAAGUCCAGCCUUCUGCCAAAAGGGAAGGCUUUGUAACUGUCCCUAAUGUGACAUGGGCUGAUAUUGGUGCCCUGGAAGAUAUUAGAGAUGAGCUUAUAAUGGCAAUAUUGGCACCUGUUCGCAACCCAGACCAGUUCAGAACUCUUGGUUUGGGGACUCCAGCUGGCAUCCUCCUAGCUGGUCCUCCUGGGUGUGGAAAAACUCUGCUAGCAAAGGCUGUGGCAAAUGAGUCUGGACUAAAUUUUAUAUCUGUCAAAGGCCCUGAAUUAUUGAAUAUGUAUGUUGGUGAGAGUGAACGUGCUGUUCGACAAGUUUUUCAGCGAGCCAAGAACUCAGCCCCCUGCGUGAUAUUUUUUGAUGAAGUGGAUGCUUUAUGUCCUCGGAGAUCAGACCGAGAAACAGGUGCUAGUGUUCGUGUGGUGAAUCAGCUGCUUACAGAGAUGGAUGGCUUAGAAACACGCCAGCAAGUUUUUAUUUUGGCUGCCACCAAUAGACCAGGAGCCAGAGGAAUAGGCACUUGUGAGCCCCCUAACACGGAUUUUGGGAUACAAACUCAAGUACUUUAGAAGAAAUAACCAUUGAGUCAUCCCCCCAGCCCUCUCGCUAUGAUAUCAUUGACCCUGCCAUUCUGCGCCCAGGCCGCCUGGACAAAACGCUCUUUGUGGGUUUGCCUCCCCCAGCAGACCGUGUUGCCAUAUUAAAGACUAUUACAAAAAAUGGCACCAAACCUCCACUGGAUGAAGAUGUAAAUUUGGAAACAAUUGCUAAUGACCUUCGUUGUAAUUGCUAUACGGGUGCGGACCUCACUGCUCUGGUACGGGAAGCUUCUCUCUGUGCCCUGAGACAAGAAAUAACAGCUCAGAAGAAUGGUGUUGGAGCAGGUAUGACCUUCUCCAGGAUGUCUCCAUUCUACUUUGUCAUUCUGGAUAUUGUAAAACACUGCUUUAAAUAGUGUUUCUCUAGCCUUUCUUAGAACAUUGUGUGAUGAGGAUGACUUUGUUUUGAUGGAACCUCUAGAAGAUUUAAGAAAUAUACAGUUUUCUACAUAUCAAGAUUUUUUUCCUUUGAAAUAUAAAAUCAAAUGGCAUUAUGUGUUGGUCACUGGUGGAGCAUUUUCUUAGCAUGUGCAAGGCUCAGGAUUCUUUCCCCAGCACCACAAAGCCAGAAAGCCAAAGACAGAAAUCUGUGUAUUACCUUCAUAGAUGGAUGUGCUUCCUAUUUACCUCACAUUUUGACAGUAUUUUUUAUACUACUAUUUGGGUAUUGUGUGGCCAGAAAAGAUUAAAUUAUGACCUGUACUCCAGCCAUGCCAAGUACUUUUUAGCUUUACUUUGCUUACUUUGCCUAAGUGUCUCUGAGGUGCUGUGUGCUGUACAAGUGUACUCUUGUUCGAACUUCAGGUGUGCACUGGUCUCCUUUCAAUGAUGUGUGUGGCUGUGUUUGUGGUGGGUUGGGUGGAGAGAAAUGUGUGCACAUGAUACAGGUGCCUUCAGAGACCACAGAGGCAUUAAGAUCCUCGAGGGCUGGAGUUAACAGUGGCUGUGAACCACCUGACAUGGCUACUGGGAACUGAACUCAGAUCCUCUACAAGAGCAGGAUGCUCUCUUAACACCAACCCAUCUCUACAGCUCCACUUCUGUGAAUCUCAAAGCUAAAUAUUGUGACAACAACAUUUGAUUAGCAUAGAUUUACUGGCACACAUACAUACAUUUAUUAGAAAGUUUUUUUUUCUUUUCCUGAAUAAUAUUAAGAUUCAGUUGUCAAAACUUCUUUUUUUUAAUAAACUGUAUUCUCUUCCUUUUGGACAUUAAUGAUAAUAAGCAAGCUUAGAACAUUUUAUUAACAAAAAUGAGAGCCACAUUUGGUUGUGUACCUUUAAUCCCAUGCUUAAAGGGACUGGAGAGAAGGUCCCGAGUUCAAAUCCCAGCAACCACAUGGUGGCUCACAACCAUCUGUAAUGAGAUUUGCUGCCCUCUUUUGCUGUGUCUGAAGACAGCUACAAUGUACUUAUGUAUAAUAAUAAAAAAUAAAUCUUAAAAAAAAAAAAGAAAGAAACCAAAGUAAAAUGGUCUUUAAUUGUUGAGUCACAUAAUGAUUGUCAUAUCCUUCUUGCCCCCACCUCCAGGACAAUCAAAUCCAAAGUCAUGUAUUCCACUCUGUGAGCUGAAUCUGACCACCAUCUUAGAGUAUUUUUGGUGUUCUUGGUGACUAAAAAGUAACAGGUCUUUCCCAUAUACUGGAGUUGCUAUUAUUUGCCUAUUUUUUUUUUAUAUAUACACACAUAACAAAUGCUGCCAUCUCAGCUUUGCUGUGGCUUUUGUUUUUAGCUCUCUGGCCUUUGGAGACUGCGCUAAUACCUUAUCCAAAUCAAACGCAAUUCUGCUGUCAUUUCUCAGUGACAUGUUCAGCAACAUGUAUUAUUUUAUUUUAGGUAAAUAUAUUAUCCUAAUAUCUGUUUACUAUUUUGAGUAUAAAUUGUCCUCACUUAAGUUUAUCAUGUUAACAUUGUAAACCAAGUUAUAUUUUACCAACUAGCCUUAUAAAGAUUACAACCCCAUCUAAUCCAGUUUUGUGACAUGCAUAUGUACCUUAAUGCUUUUGUCUUUAAGGACAUCUAGCCUCUGUGACUCAGUAGUAUAAACUUGUAUUCAAGAACAUGCCCUUGGGUGGGAAUACUGGUUCUCAGUUACUUGUGGUUCUGUUGACCAUCUCUUAAGUUCUUUCUACAGGAGACCACACUGGCCAUUUUUGACAGUGUGACAUGCACAGUACCAUCCCAACAUUCCUGAGAGACAGACCACCUACAGCAGUCCUGUUUCCUCAAGUGAGAUGGAGAGAGUCUCAGUGAGGCAGACCUGGAGAGGGGCAUGUGUACAUGUGCUUGAAUAGUUCCAUCUGAUCGCCCCUCACAGCUUUCUUGUGUUAUUGUACUGAGAUGUAUGUUUUUACAUCUUCUCCACAGGUGAGCUUAAGGUCAGUCAUAAGCACUUUGAAGACGCUUUCAAGAAAGUAAAACCAUCCAUAUCAAUAAAGGAUCAAGUGAUGUAUGAAGCUCUGCAGAGGUCCCUCAGUCAGUGAUGUUUGCGCUACCUGGCAUGGAGGAGGUGUCUAGUGUGUGGAACUCACCACGAAUCACAGUUACUCUGGAGGGUCUACUUUCAGCUUGACACCAAUGAUCCUUUUUUUUUUUUUUUAAAUCAGAACCAGUUAUCUCUUUAUUUUUUGGAAAGUAAGUUGGCUGUGUUAGUAAAACCACAUCUGCUAGUGUGGGCUGAUAAACCAUGUGCUAGGCCCCAAGAACCCUGAGCCACUGUCCUGACCCUGCUGACUGACAGGCAAGGGACAGCCACCCAAGCCCAAUAAGAGGAGUAAAAAAAGUAGCAAAAUUGCAUUCACCACUGUCUCCCAGGCUUUGAAAGGUAGCAGUCUAGGCUAUAAAAGUCUAGAAGCUCUGCAUAGGGAGUGUUAAGCCUGCAGCAAAACAACUUGUAAAAACUCAAUAAAUUAUAGAUAGACUUGUAACAGAUAUCUAUUAACAUCUGAACCUUCUUACAGGAUCAGUCCCUCCCUGGGCACAGGCUCCUGCCUGGAAUACAUAGCAAUUAGAAUAAUCUGUAUGAAAAAUACCAGUUCACCUUGAAAUUUUUAAACAUCUCCUAAAGAAAGUUCCUAUAUAAAUCUAAUCCCUCACAAAAGAGGGCCGAAGGCAACAGGAAACGCUCUCUGGCGCCAUUACUAACUAGGAGAGCUAGCUGCUCAUGCGCCAAGGGGCUAUGUCCAGCCUGGCAGAGGCCAGACUCACGGUCUCAGCAACUCCCUAAAUCCAGCAUGAACCUCUUUCACUGUUAAUAAGUUACAACUUAAAAUGUCUGAAAUACCCUGGGACUAAAUGCUGUACCCUGAGGUUGGGGACUGGAGCUCUGGGAGUUGAUAAAUAUAGCUUUACAAAUAUACAGGUCCAGUACAAACAAAACUGCCAUGCCAGAAAAGUCCCUUGCUUCUCAGCCUGUUCUUGCCAGUUUACUAGUGAGCCCCAUGGAGUAUCUUGCUCCCUUGGGCUUCAGCUUUGCCUUUUUUCAUAUAGAUGUGUGUGUGUGUGUGUUACACAACAUCUAUUUAUAUAAAUAUACAUUUUCCUCUGGAAUACACCUUUCUGAUAGACAUUAUCUCCCCCCCCCCUUUUUCAGGUACCUGUAAUUUGUGUCUGAGAGGCAGGGUGGGAAGCAGGCAGCCUGGAGAUGUCGAGCUAUGACACCCCCUAGAUAUAAGGUGCCAUGUAGGAGAGAGGCUUGCCACACAGAGCAGAGCCUCCCUGCAAGCUCAGCUUGGGGCACCAAAGAGGCCAAGGCCCACUCUCUACAAUGGUCCCUGUAAGGUAGCAGUGAGAAAUGAGAGGGCCAGAACCCCAGGGUUGCACAGGGUGGGCCUCUUAACGUUCUCAUUUGGUCUUCCUGGCCCUGGCCACUCAGGAGAUCACUAUACAGCAGUGCAUGUUCCCAAGGGGCAGGGGCCUCUGCACCCAGGAGCUAAGGAUAAACAUGCAGGAAGUCUUGUCUAUUGUUGACCCAUUGCACUGGGCUGGCUAGGGUCCACUGCACACCAGCAGUAGCAGGGCGGGUUAGGGUCCACAGAAACAUUGGCUGGGGCUUGGUCUGUGGGACUGCAGGCCUUUCACAUCCGAGGUCCCCCAUUAUUGGGUGGGGGUAGCAACUCAUGGGUGAACACCCUGUCAUCCCUGGACAGGCUGGAGCUAGGAGUGUCCCAACCACCUGGAGAGGACUGCUCAAAUGGCACGGAGAGGUCCAAGUACUUGUCAGUUGAUGUCACAGUGAGGAUGCGGUCUAAAUCCUCUACCUACUGCUUGAAGGUGGGCCUCUGAAGACACUGCAUGCCAAUAUCCCCACGUGACCAUGUACAGGCCACGUGUGCAGUUGUGGGGCUUGUCCAUGCAGUGGCCCUCUGUAAGUAGCUUGAAAAGCUCUUCCACUGGGAUGCCAGGAUACGGUGAGAUGUCCUAGCGGAGGACACCAAAGAACCAGACAUCACUCUGGUGGGUGAAGACUCUGUAAAAAAGGGCCUCUGAUUCCAUCCACUUCACAGGUAGCAGGCCACUUGUGGUCUUCUUGUAGUAAUCCAGGUUGUGCACGUCUUGGGCCAGGCCAAAGUCUGUAAUCUUCAUCACAUUGUCCGAGGUAACCAGGACAUUUCUGGCAGCCAAGUCUCUGAAUACACUUCUGGGAAGCCAAGUAUUCUGUGCUCCAUGUUACCUGGUAGGCACAGAACACUAGAUCCUUGCAGGUAAGCUGUUCUCCUGGCAGCCUGCAGUCCAUGCCUGGAGGCCAUUAUGCCAGAAGGAACUCUUGAAAAUUGCCUUGUCUGCAUACUCCACCAGCACAUACAGAGCCCACCCAGUGCAGGCCCAGCAGAUCAUCAUCUCCAUCUCAGAUACCAGGUCCAACAGCAUCUUCACAGUAUCUUCUGCCAUGACAGUCUGUCCAAAGCAGCCUUCUCCCAGUCUUACCAAGUGUCAGUUGGGUCCUGGAUAGUUCCUACUUGGGGUCAGCAGGCAGCUCAAGUUCAGAAACAUUGGCCAUAAUAGGACCUUCUCCUGAAGACACCAAGCAAUCCGGAUAAGGGCUACAUUUGAAGUUCAUAGAGGAAUUAGAUUCCAAGGACACCUGUCAGUUAAGCGGGGAAGUGCCUUGGGGGACUGGGCAGACCGUCACCACAGCUGCCACCACUAGGAUGAAGAGGAAGAAGCCCACCCCGUAGUCGCUGAGGACACCCGCACACAUGCUCCUCAGCUGUGUCUUCAGUUAGGUCCUUCCCAUCUUCAUUAUCUCCUGAGGAUGGAGCAUCUGUCACAUGCAUACUGAAGCCUCUGAGAGCCCACCAGGAUGCAGUGGGAAACCACCAGUUCUGUACCAUUCUUAGCCCAGACUGUGGGACUUGUGGGGGCACCUCUACAUGUCAGCUCCACGGUGUCCUCACUGCCAAAGGCCACCUGCUCCUACUGGCUAGGUUCAGGCCCUGGAACCUCUGCCGCUCUCUUUACAGCUCUGGACCAGAAGGCUCUGAAGUAGGUCCAGCCAUCACUGCCAUGCAGAAUACUUUUUUUAAAAUUAGGUAUUUUCUUCAUUUACAUUUCAAAUGCUAUCCCAUAAGUCCCCCAUAUCUUCCCCCCACUCCCCUACCCACCCACUCCCACUUCUUGGCCCUGGCAUUCCCCUGUACUGAGGCAUAAAAAGUUUGCAAGACCAAUGGGCCUCUCUUUCCAAUAAUGGCCAACUAGGCCAUCUUCUGAUACAUAUGCAGCUAGAGACACAAGCUCUGGGGGGGGGGGGGUACUGGUUAGUUCAUAUUGUUCCACCUAUAGGGUUGCAGACCCCUUUAGCUCCUUGGGUACUUUCUCUGGCUCCUCCAUUGGGGGCCCUGUGAUCCAUCCAAUAGCUGACUGUGAGCAUCCACUUCUGUGUUUGCUAGGCCCCGGCAUAGCCUCACAAGAGACAGCUAUAUCUGGGUCCUUUCAGCAAAAUCUUGCUAGUGUAUGCAAUGGUGUCAUCGUUUGGAGGCUGAUUAUGGGAUGGAUCCCCGGGUAUGGCAGUCUCAGAAUACUUUUAUCACGCCGUCCGGUACUACCAUGGCUCCAGAGUGAGGGUGGGGGGGAUGCAGCAUCCUCAAGUGGGUGCGCACGGGCAUGCUGCAAUCCACACCUGGAGCCUGAGGCGGUGGGAGGAUGCCUCACUUGCAGCUCCAGCUCUGGCCAGCCCUUCCAGGGUCUCCUCUGUCCCAGUGGCCGGCUGCCCACCAGUGAGUCUGUCUGUCCCCCACCCCCACCGCCCACUAGAGUGAACCGCGACACAGAUGAUCUUAUUGUAAGCAUUUUAUUUUUCAAAUUAAUGAGGCCCAACUGAAGGAAAUGGUGUUUCCCAUCUGACCAGCUUUGUGGAAAAACUCCCUACCUACUUUUUAAGAGAGAGAGAGAAACCUGAUAAAGCCUUAUUUAAAUAAAAUUUUAUUUCGAACUAUCUUGAUCAUGCAUAAAAGUUAUAAAAAAAACUUUCCUUGAGAAUUGAUCACCCUACAUCCUGUCACCUCAGAUACAUAUUCAUAUCAGUUUUCUGUAAACCAGGAUAUUUUUCUACAUAACCAACCAUCAAAAACACUGACACAUUGCUACUAUUUAACUCUCUAGCUCUAGUCAGUCUUUCUCGGUUUUUCUCUUGUCAUUUAUGGUAAAGGACUCUGGUCUAAGUUAGCUAUUCCAGUUGUUAACUCUUCUUAAGAGUUUCCACAAGUUUUUGUUGUUGGGUUUUGGGUUUUGUUUGGGGAUAGUAAGUACCCCUGACUGGCCUGCAACCUACUGUAUAGAGUAGGCUGGCCUCAGACUCCCAGUGUUCUGUGUGCCUCUGCUUCCUGGGUGCUGAGAUUAAAGGUGUAUGCCCCCAUAGCCAGCAUUUUUUAACUUCUUGGGUCAAUGAUUGGAUUGCCUUAGUUUUAUCUCUUUAAAGAUAUAGUCGUAAAGCUGUUCUCUGCAUCCUCUCAGGUGGUAAUGCCUUGUUACUUAAGACUCACUGCAGACACUUAAUUCAAGUGACUUCUUACACUACAGAGUUACUCCUUUUCCUUUUUAACUCACACCUGUGUGGGGGAAGAUAAUCUCACCUCUCGUACACGUGUUGCGCCCUCACCAGAUUCAGGAUAGUUUUCAUUAUCAUGGUUGUAUGUUCAGAUGUGUCUUUGGUAAAUUUCUAAACUGAUGUUUUAUGAGAGUUUAUGUUGUGUCAGAAUUAUUUCAUCUGAUUUUGUUUAUACAAUAACAGCAAUACUGUUAUUGUAUAAACAGGUCUGGUUAUUUCCUUUUCUUCCUAAGUUUUUAUUCUAUCUCCUUCUGCAAAGUCUUUGAGGUUCCUAUUAUGAAUUUGAGAAUGGGGUUGGAGACUCUUCUUGAGGUCCUGAGUUCAAUUCCCAGCAACUACAUGGUGGCUCACAACCAUCUGUAAUGGGAUCCGAUACCCUCUUCUGGUGUGUCCGAAGAUGGCUACUGUGUGUGUGUGUGUGUGUGUGUGUGUGUGUGUGUAUAAUCUUUUAAAAAAUAAAGAAUUUAAGAACGAAGGAGCUGGAGAAAUAAAUGGCUUAGUAAUUAAGAGUACACACUGCUCUUUCAGAGGACCACGUUUGAUUCCCAGCACCCACAUAGGUAGCUCAAAACUGCCGAUGCUCCUAGCUACAGGGGAUCCUGCACUUCUGGCUUCUAUAGGCACCUGUGCUCAUAUGCAUGUAGCCCCUCCCACCCCCACACACUUUUUUUAAAAAUUAAACAUAUUUUUAUAAAACAAAUGGAAUAUAUUCAAAAGGUAUUUUUAGAAGAAAUGUUGUAAUCUAUUUUCCACCCAGUAACUGUCUUCUGUUCAACUUGUACCACAGCAGACACAGCUUGUAUUUUAUGUCCAGGCCACCAGAAAUAAACGCACUUAGACCCAGCAUUCAGUUGUCAAGAAGAGCUGAUAUGGCAGAUAGUGUUUUCAUUUGGCAUAUUACAAGUACAGCAGCAGCAGGCUCAACUGCUCAGAUUCACUAUUUAAGACUUUCUGACAUUUACUUCUAAUUCUCCAGUCACGCUCAUCAUCUACCUCUACUGAUCCGGUUUGGUUUUUCUCUCCUCUGUUGGUCUCUUUCUGGGAACCAGUAUGUUCUCCUUUAUGUCCUCCAUUGAACAGAAUUAUCAUUCUGCUUAGUACCUACAAACCUCUGCCAAGCCCUCCCAAAAAAGGGAGUCAUGCUGACUUUGUAACUGUAAUCCCGAUUUUAUUCAGUUGUAUUCUUCCAACUCUGUGUGGUGUGUGUGUGUGUGUGUGUGUGUGUGUGUGAGAGAGAGAGAGAGAGAGAGAGAGAGAGAGAGAGAGAGAGAGAGAGAGAGACACGCUGGGUCAGAGUACAACUUUUAGGAGGUAGUUCCUUUUUUCUACCACAUGAUCCCCAGGAUCAAGAUCAGGUUGUGAGGCUUAGUUAGCAAGUGCCUUUACCUGCUCAAUCAUCUCACCAGCCUAUUAUCAAUUCCAUUUGUAUAUUCAAUACUCUGUAGACUGCUUGACACUCUGUUCUUAUGUGGUGUUCUCAACUCAGUAGAAUCUUUAGACAUUCACAUUUUAUAGAAAUAUAGAUUGCGAGUUUGCUAAUACUAACAAGAGGAGCAGAGGCUGGGAAGCUCCUAGAUUAGCACUUGGAAGUGCUGUUGGCAUCUUGGUUGGGAAUGUUUCUUAACCAAGGUUUUCAUGACUGGCUCACCUGUGCCCUUCACAAGAACCCUUGAGAUCUUACUCUUCCAAUUUAAGGAUGAGAAAUUUACCUAAGGUUUGGAGGGAUGACUCAAGGGUUGAGUUCAGUUCCCAGCAACCACAUGGUGGCUCCCAACCUUCUGCAAUGGGAUCUGUUGCCCUCUUCUGGUGUGUCUGAAGACAGCAACACUCUACUCAUAUACAUCAAUGAAAUCUUUAAAAGAAAGAAAUGUACCUAUGUGGGAGUGCCCAGAAGUAGUACCCAGAUGUGGGAAAGUGGCACGUUGGACUCAAUUUCAGUUUGCUUUGCUGUCCUGCCAAUGAUCUUACUCUAUUUUGUCAGGGUGCUCUUUCAGCCAGCCCCAACCCCUUACCACUGAGUGGCGGCACAUUCAGGAUUUUCUGUGACUAAUGUCCUUAUGGCUUUUGCCUUUAUAAAUGCUGAAUCCAUGAAUUUUGGGACAAGAGUUCUUUGUGACAAGAGCCUUCUCUCUAUCUUAAAUAAAGAAUUCUUAUUUGGCCUUA